rnacentral:misc_RNA from 1 species
AAGUCGUAACAAGGUUUCCGUAGGUGAACCUGCGGAAGGAUCAUUAAAAGGAACGGCAAAAAGGGCUUCCCGGCCCUAUUCCUUGGCCAAAACUCUCACCGUGUACAUCGUCCACGUUGCUUCCCCCGGGGGGAUGAUCCCUCCUCUUCAUACUCCUGGGGGGAAGGUAACCAUGACAAAAACUAUGCAUGCCGCAGCACGAUUGCAGUCUGAAUUGGGUAAAACCCGCGCUUCGUGGGGAACCCGUACCUCCUUUUGCUUUCGGGGGUAGAAAAACGAAUAAGUCAAAACUUUCAACAACGGAUCUCUUGGCUCUC